rnacentral:rRNA from 1 species
UACGAAGGGGGCUAGCGUUGCUCGGAAUCACUGGGCGUAAAGCGCACGUAGGCGGAUUGUUAAGUCAGGGGUGAAAUCCUGGAGCUCAACUCCAGAACUGCCUUUGAUACUGGCGAUCUCGAGUCCGGGAGAGGUGAGUGGAACUGCGAGUGUAGAGGUGAAAUUCGUAGAUAUUCGCAAGAACACCAGUGGCGAAGGCGGCUCACUGGCCCGGUACUGACGCUGACGGUGCGAAAGCGUGGGGAGCAAACAGGGAGUUAAGA